AUUGAACGCUGGCGGCAGGCCUAACACAUGCAAGUCGAGCGGAUGAAGGGAGCUUGCUCCUGGAUUCAGCGGCGGACGGGUGAGUAAUGCCUAGGAAUCUGCCUGGUAGUGGGGGAUAACGACCGGAAACGGGCGCUAAUACCGCAUACGUCCUGCGGCAGAUAGUGGGGGAUCUUCGGACCUCACGCUCUCAGAUGAGUCUAGGUCGGAUUAGCUAGUUGGUGGGGUAAAGGCCUACCAAGGCGACGAUCCGUAACUGGUCUGAGAGGAUGAUCGGUCACACUGGAACUGAGACACGGUCCAGACUCCUACGGGAGGCAGCAGUGGGGAAUGUUGGACAGUGGGCGAAAGCCUGAUCCAGCCAUGCCGCGUGUGUGAAGAAGGUCUUCGGAUUGUAAAGCACUUUAAGUUGUGAGGAAGCGCAGUAAGUUAAUACCUUGCUGUUUUGAGGUUACCAACAGAAUAAGCACCGGCUAACUUCGUG
rnacentral:rRNA from 1 species